AUGCCCCGGAGGGGUGCCUCUCCCAGUCCAGGCCCUUGUGAGGGUGGCAGCGCCCCCAUCCCCGCCCCCAGUGAGAAGGCAGCGAGAGGCUGUCCCAGGAGGGGCGUCCUUGGAAAGGAGAGGGAGGGAGGCUGGAAGGACGGGCCCCUCGGCACAGACAGCCGCCUGCCCCCAGUGCUGGUCCUCACUGGCCAGGUAUCCUGGGACAAGGUGCUCGGGGUCGCCUCCCUGCUCAGCUUGGGCCCCGCUCUGCACCUGCUCGGCCACCCGGAUCGGGUGGUCAGUGUCCUGCCAUGCCUGCCUGAGACCCCGCCUGACAAGCCCGGGAGCUCCCAGCCCCACAGCGGGGCUGGCACUGGAGUGCAUCGCUCCCGGUGGCCGCACGGCCGAGGGGCAGCCAGGGUGGGCUCUGCGGGCACUGCGGCCGAGCUGACCCACUGUGCCGUGUCUCCUGCAGAGGGCGAAGUGAGUGCCGAGGAAGAAGGCUUCGAGAACCUCAACACCAUGGCCUCCACCUUCAUCGUCCUCUUCCUCCUGGGCCUCUUCUACAGCACCACGGUCACCCUGUUCAAGGUGGGCCACCUGGCCGUGGGGAGCGGGUGGCACACGACCCCCGGGGACCCCCACCCCCCACUCACGUGGUCUCUGUCGCCUGCAGGAGCGCGGGCCCUCACCCGCUGCCCAGCAGAUGGUGACGGAGCUCGGAAGCAGGCGCAGAAGUCUCGGGUGAAACAGCCGGGAGAGGCACAGAGGAAAGGCCCAGAAAGGGGGACAGCUGGCAGGAGUAUUUUUCAAGACCGCUUUGCAGGCACGGAGGAAUCGGGUGCCCAGUGGGAAGGGGAGGACAGGGACUCCGGGGAGGAGAGAGAGCAAGAGGCACAAAGGGACCUGACCCCGGGCCCAGCCCAGCUGUGCGGGAUUCCUGGACCAGGUGCCUUAGCCGAGACAAGGAGCCAGUCUCCCCCGACUCUCUUCCCCCUGGUCUCCUGCGUGAGCCCCCUGUCUGAUGAGAGCCCGGUGGCCCUGGGCUGCCUGGCCCGGGACUUCUUGCCCAGCUCCAUCAGCUUCUCCUGGAGCUACAGUAACAGCAGCGGGGUCAGCAGCCAGAACAUCCAGAGCUUCCCGGCCGUCUUGAGGGAGGGCAAGUACAUGGCCUCCUCCCAGGUGCUCCUGCCCUCUGCACGCAUCCCCCAGGGGACGGAAGAGUACCUGCUCUGCAGAGCCAAGUACCCCAACAGCGACAAGUCCAUGAAAGUGCCUGUCCCAGCAUCGAAGCAGACUCCAAACCUCUUGGUGUCCUCUGUGACGUCCCAGUCAGAGGGCUUCACCCUAACCACUCCAAGGAUUCCAGAUUGCCAGAACCACACCCAGCACCCCAGGGUCUACCUGCUGCACCCUCCCCUGCAGGGCCUGUGGCUCCAGGCUGAGGCCACUUUCACCUGCCUGGUGGUGGGAGGCAACCUGCAGGCCACCCGCUUGUCCUGGGAGGUGGCCGGGGAGCCCCAGAGCCGGGACACAGAGGAGGGGCCCACAGAGCACACCAACGGGUCCUGGAGCUGGACCAGCCGCCUGGCCCUGUCCAGGGCCUCGUGGGCCAGUGGGACGUCCGUCACCUGCACGCUGAGUGGUCCCGGCCUGCAGUCCCCGGUGACUCUGGCGGCACAGAGAGAACACGAGGCCUCGGCGCCCAGCAAGCCUGCCGUCCGCGUCCUGACCGUGCCCGGUCCACUGCCCUCUGCCGAGGCGGCCUCCUGGCUCCUGUGCGAGGUGUCCAACUUCUCACCGCUGGGCAUCCUCCUCGCCUGGCUGGAGGGCCAGCGAUGGGUGGACCCGUCUUGGUCCGCCACAGCGCCGGCCCAGCCUGGGAACUCCUCGUUCCGCACCUGGAGCGUCCUGCGCGUCCCCGCCUUCCCAGGCCGUGCGGCUGCCACCUACACCUGUGUGGUCAGGCACGAGGCCUCCCGGACGCUGCUCAAUGCCAGCUGGAACCUGGACACUGGACUUCUGCUGAGCGAGCAGUGGCUGGGAGCAGAGUGA